CCUACGGGAGGCAGCAGUGGGGAAUAUUGCUCAAUGGGCGAAAGCCUGAACCAGCGAAGCCGCGUGAAGGAUGACUGCCCUACGGGUUGUAAACUUCUUUUAUAAAGGAAUAAAGUGAGGCACGUGUGCCUUUUUGUAUGUACUUUCUGAAUAAGGAUCGGCUAACUCCGUGCCAGCAGCCGCGGUAAUACGGAGGUUCCGAGCGUUAUCCGGAUUUAAUGGGUUUAAAGGGAGCGUAGGUGGGUUGUUAAGUCAGUUGUGAAAGUUUGCGGCUCAACCGUAAAAUGGCAAUUGAUACUGGCAGUCUUGAGUACAGUUGAGGUAGGCGGAAUUCGUGGUGUAGCGGUGAAAUGCGUAGAUAUCACGAAGAACUCCGAUUGCGAAGGCAGCUUACUAAACUGCCACUGACAUUGAUGCUCGAAAGCGUGGGGAGCAAACAGGAUUAGAUACCCGAGUAGUC
rnacentral:rRNA from 1 species